UGGGGAAUUUUGGACAAUGGGGGCAACCCUGAUCCAGCAAUGCCGCGUGUGUGAAGAAGGCCUUCGGGUUGUAAAGCACUUUUGUCCGGGAAGAAAUCCCCUGCCCUAAUACGGCGGGGGGAUGACGGUACCGGAAGAAUAAGCACCGGCUAACUACGUGCCAGCAGCCGCGGUAAUACGUAGGGUGCGAGCGUUAAUCGGAAUUACUGGGCGUAAAGCGUGCGCAGGCGGUGAUGUAAGACCGAUGUGAAAUCCCCGGGCUCAACCUGGGAACUGCAUUGGUGACUGCAUUGCUCGAGUAUGGCAGAGGGGGGUGGAAUUCCACGUGUAGCAGUGAAAUGCGUAGAGAUGUGGAGGAACACCGAUGGCGAAGGCAGCCCCCUGGGCCAAUACUGACGCUCAUGCACGAAAGCGUGGGGAGCAAACAGGAUUAGAUACCCUGGUAGUCCACGCCCUAAACGAUGUCAACUGGUUGUCGGGCCUUCAUUGGCUUGGUAACGUAGCUAACGCGUGAAGUUGACCGCCUGGGGAGUACGGUCGCAAGAUUAAAACUCAAAGGAAUUGACGGGGUCAUAGCUGUUUCCU
rnacentral:rRNA from 1 species